ensembl:misc_RNA 7SK 7SK RNA
GGAUGUGAGGGCGAUCUGGCUGCGACAUCUGUCACCCCAUUGAUCGCCAGGGUUGAUUCGGCUGAUCUGGCUGGCUAGGCGGGUGUCCCCCUCCUCCCUCGCCGAUCCAUGUGCGUCCCUCCCGAAGCUGCGCGCUCGGUCGAAGAGGACGACCUUCCCCCCCGAGGAGAGGACCGGUCUUCGGUCAAGGGUAUACGAGUAGCUGCGCUCCCCUGCUAGAACCUCCAAACAAGCUCUCAAGAAGUAUAUGUGUAUAUAUGGGAUAGUAUAGGUACAUGUAUUUUACAAUGUGUUUUCUGAGAGGACCUAGAACAGUG